rnacentral:rRNA from 1 species
CAGGUUUACCUGUGUGACUGCGUACCUUUUGUAUAAUGGGUCAGCGACUUAUAUUCUGUAGCAAGGUUAACCGAAUAGGGGAGCCGGAGGGAAACCGAGUCUUAACCGGGCGUUAAGUUGCAGGGUAUAGACCCGAAACCCGGUGAUCUAGCCAUGGGCAGGUUGAAGGUUGGGUAACACUAACUGGAGGACCGAACCGACUAAUGUUGAAAAAUUAGCGGAUGACCUGUGGCUGGGGGUGAAAGGCCAAUCAAACCGGGAGAUAGCUGGUUCUCCCCGAAAGCUAUUUAGGUAGCGCCUCGUGAAUUCAUCUCCGGGGGUAGAGCACUGUUUCGGCUAGGGGGCCAUCCCGGCUUACCAACCCGAUGCAAACUGCGAAUACCGGAGAAUGUUAUCACGGGAGACACACGGCGGGUGCUAACGUCCGUCGUGAAGAGGGAAACAACCCAGACCGCCAGCUAAGGUCCCAAAGUCAUGGUUAAGUGGGAAACGAUGUGGGAAGGCCCAGACAGCCAGGAUGUUGGCUUAGAAGCAGCCAUCAUUUAAAGAAAGCGUAAUAGCUCACUGGUCGAGUCGGCCUGCGCGGAAGAUGUAACGGGGCUAAACCAUGCACCGAAGCUGCGGCAGCGACACUGUGUGUUGUUGGGUAGGGGAGCGUUCUGUAAGCCUGUGAAGGUGUGUCGUGAGGCAUGCUGGAGGUAUCAGAAGUGCGAAUGCUGACAUAAGUAACGAUAAAGCGGGUGAAAAGCCCGCUCGCCGGAAGACCAAGGGUUCCUGUCCAACGUUAAUCGGGGCAGGGUGAGUCGACCCCUAAGGCGAGGCCGAAAGGCGUAGUCGAUGGGAAACGGGUUAAUAUUCCCGUACUUGGUGUUACUGCGAAGGGGGGACGGAGAAGGCUAUGUUGGCCGGGCGACGGUUGUCCCGGUUUAAGCGUGUAGGUGUGUGUUCCAGGUAAAUCCGGUUCACUUUAACACUGAGGCGUGACGACGAGGCACUACGGUGCUGAAGCAACAAAUGCCCUGCUUCCAGGAAAAGCCUCUAAGCAUCAGGUAACAUCAAAUCGUACCCCAAACCGACACAGGUGGUCAGGUAGAGAAUACCAAGGCGCUUGAGAGAACUCGGGUGAAGGAACUAGGCAAAAUGGUGCCGUAACUUCGGGAGAAGGCACGCUGACACGUAGGUGAAGUGAUUUACUCAUGGAGCUGAAGUCAGUCGAAGAUACCAGCUGGCUGCAACUGUUUAUUAAAAACACAGCACUGUGCAAACACGAAAGUGGACGUAUACGGUGUGACGCCUGCCCGGUGCCGGAAGGUUAAUUGAUGGGGUCAGCGCAAGCGAAGCUCCUGAUCGAAGCCCCGGUAAACGGCGGCCGUAACUAUAACGGUCCUAAGGUAGCGAAAUUCCUUGUCGGGUAAGUUCCGACCUGCACGAAUGGCGUAAUGAUGGCCAGGCUGUCUCCACCCGAGACUCAGUGAAAUUGAACUCGCUGUGAAGAUGCAGUGUACCCGCGGCAAGACGGAAAGACCCCGUGAACCUUUACUAUAGCUUGACACUGAACAUUGAGCCUUGAUGUGUAGGAUAGGUGGGAGGCUUUGAAGUGUGGACGCCAGUCUGCAUGGAGCCGACCUUGAAAUACCACCCUUUAAUGUUUGAUGUUCUAACGUGGACCCGUUACCCGGGUUGCGGACAGUGUCUGGUGGGUAGUUUGACUGGGGCGGUCUCCUCCUAAAGAGUAACGGAGGAGCACGAAGGUUGGCUAAUCCUGGUCGGACAUCAGGAGGUUAGUGCAAUGGCAUAAGCCAGCUUGACUGCGAGCGUGACGGCGCGAGCAGGUGCGAAAGCAGGUCAUAGUGAUCCGGUGGUUCUGAAUGGAAGGGCCAUCGCUCAACGGAUAAAAGGUACUCCGGGGAUAACAGGCUGAUACCGCCCAAGAGUUCAUAUCGACGGCGGUGUUUGGCACCUCGAUGUCGGCUCAUCACAUCCUGGGGCUGAAGUAGGUCCCAAGGGUAUGGCUGUUCGCCAUUUAAAGUGGUACGCGAGCUGGGU